AACAUCUUUUGCCAUUCUUCUAUCGGUUUCAAAGGUAUCUCCAAAGGUAUUGUCACUAAAACUAGCGUAUUGGUCCACACUAAAUUAUUGGCCUCUUUUUCUAAUGCGACUAGUUUAGUCUGUAACAUCACAACCUCCACCUAUAGCCGCUCUUGCCGUUCCUUCCAAUUCGUCUCUAUCUUUGCUUUCUCAGACACCAUGUUCAUCACCUUCUCCUUUUCUGCCAUCUACUUCUCCUUAAUUCUAACCUCCACUAGUGCAACGUCAAUUCGUGGUAAGUUUUAUAAAAUACACAAAAAUCCAUACAUAUGUGCUCCUCAAAAAUUUUGCUACUUCUCCUUAGUCCAACAAACAUCCAAUCGAAUCAACUUCAU
rnacentral:lncRNA from 1 species